GCGCGUGUAGCUCAGUUGGAUAGAGCACCCGCCUCCUAAGCGGGAGGCCUCCGGUUCAAGUCCGGACACGCGCACCA
rnacentral:tRNA from 2 species